GACGGAAGGUGCAAGCGUUGUUCGGAAUUACUGGGCGUAAAGGGCGCGUAGGCGGCAAGGCAAGUCAGGUGUGAAAGCCCCGAGCUUAACUCGGGAAUUGCAUCUGAAACUGCUGUGCUUGAGUUCUGGAGGGGGUAGUGGAAUUCCCAGUGUAGCGGUGAAAUGCGUAGAUAUUGGGAGGAACACCUGCGGCGAAGGCGGCUACCUGGACAGAAACUGAUGCUGAGGCGCGAAAGCUAGGGGAGCGAACGGG
rnacentral:rRNA from 1 species